rnacentral:lncRNA from 1 species
GACCAUUAUUCAAGACGUCUUCAAUCUAAAAUGUAAUUAAUAGCGCCAGGAAUAAGCAAAAUGCAACCACUCGUGGCCCAGGGGCGGGGCCGGAGGGGCAGCCGUCCUAGGUCUUAGCCAGCAGAUGGGCCCCUCCCAGGUACGCAAAUAUACUCAGCCAAAGCCCCAAACAUACAGGAUACGCAUACGCUAAAUCAGUUGAACCGAUGUGAGACACCGGUGAUCACACAACGCGAGUUAUAUGCUUCCUUUCCUUCCAGAUCAUCUGCAAAGGGCGAGCCGGCGAUCAUCCCAUUCAUCCGUACUUCCGUAGUUCGGCACUCAAAUUCCAUCACCAUCAGGUAGGCGGUGGCAAGCCAUCAAUCAGGUACGUACGUAUUUCUUAUCUCUGCCCUGUGAUCUCUAAUCAAAUGUACGUUAAUAAUUUCUUAUGAGUAAUAAAAGCACUUUAAGAUAUCCACAUUCAUAUCGGUGAUAGUUGCUUGAUGAGAUUGAUAUUAACACCAAAAUCAAGGGUUUAGUAUCGAUAAUGUUAGAAGAAAAUUCUGAGGUAAUUUAAAAUGUAUACAAAUUAUUUUAUAUGAAUUUUGCUUUUUUCAUUUAGUUAACUACCUAUUAAUAAUAUUUCAUAUAUGUGUUUAUAAGGUCCAUAAUUUUAGGUUUGAUCUACGUCUAAAAUAUCUUAGGACCUGCCCUGAAUGCAACAACUAGCUCAGCUUCGAGAACUCUUUCUUAUGAAUCUUCACCAUUUGGCAAGUAAGGAAACUACCAUUGUUAUCAAGAUAAUGUGCAUUAAUUUUACUUAUUAGUUGAUGAAAAUAAUUAACAAAAUUAAGGGGGCAUUGAUGUAGUACUUAUUAUAUUUAUUUUUCCAUGACGCAUGAGCAAAGUUGCGAAUGAAGGUUGAAUGAAGGGUCAUUUGAACUGUACAUUUUAUUCAUGUUACUAUUAAUUUCAAUACAAAUUGAUUCACCUUCAUAAUAUGUCUAUGUCUUGGUAUUGUGUUACGAGUUUGUGAUGCAUGAUAUAUAGACUUUGUGUGCAUGGAAAUGAGCACGCAGUCACGGUCUUAUCCACUCUAUGCGCCUUUACUAGCAUGACAUGUGCGAACAAGUGAGUGGACACCAUUCUCGUUCUCAGCCGCUUCAUGCGCUCGGACGAACGACAUGAGUUAGAACUCGUCACGAGCCGCUACAUGCGCUUGCAGUUACGACAGCAAUGGCACCAUUGCAAACUCGUCCUGUGCAUGCGCUCGUAUGAACAGGUCGAGUGGGAACAUGCUUGUACUAGCGUCAUAAGUGGGAGCAAGUGAGUGGACACCGUUCUCGUCCUCAUCCGUUGCAUGCACUCGUAGGUACGGAUGAGGGGGAAACGGAUGAGUGGGAACUUGUUUGAGCCCGCUACAUGCGCUCACGAACGGCAGGAACGGCACAAGUGGGACCUCGUCUUGUGCAUGCGCUCGUUCGAACAGCUCGGAUGGGAAUGCGCUUGACCCACUUCAUACGCUUGUAGAAAUUGAACGGCUCGAGUGGGAACUCGUUCUGAGCCGCUGCAUGCGUUGUGCCGCGUCUUAUGCCACUGCAUGCUUUCGUAUUAGCGGCGUGAGUGGGAUCGCGUCGUUACACAGAGUUUUUAAAUAGAGUCAAUGGGUUACUUCCUUCUAGUCACUACUCACUAGCUAGUACUACUACAGGUAUUGCGAUAUGGAGGGAAUAGGCAAAGAAUCUGGGAAGGAGGAAAUUAAGGGAAAUGAUGCAAAGGUAAUAGCUUCUAUGGAUCUUUUUUUGUUUUCAUUGUGACUUUUAUCAUGACUAUACUAACAAAGUUCCAAACCAAACAGAAACCACAGAAACAACAGGUAUCUAACUGGCGACACUGGCACGACGUACAGAUUUAUGAGGAAGAAUGCUUGGUCGAUGGUGUGUUGCCACCACUCUUGGCUCGGAAUGGGUCAACCAAGGGUGAGAUUACCAAGGUUAGUGGCGAACCUCAAGACUUUAUUUUUUUAAAAGAGAAUAUUAUACAAAGGUUAUGAGCCAUAAUAUUAUGUGGUCAAUAACAUCAUGCAGGAUGAGGUAGAGGAGGAAGGGGAAGAGGCUACAAGUAGAAUAAAAAAAAAUAUAAAAAAAUCAAAAAAAAAUUAAGCAAUAAGGGUUUCUUUGUAUUCAAAGGAAAAUGUUGUGGCCGCUGGCACCAUCCGCCUAUUGCCCCGCCAAAGUCAUCAUCACUGCCUCACGGAGGUGUCAAAUGUAGUUGUGGAGUGCCAAAAUUAGGCAUGGUAAAUAAGAGUAUAUGUGUUGGGCCAAAGAUGGUUGCAGACUACACGAUUUUGCAUGGUGAAAUACUCAUGUAUUUAAUUAUAAGUGAUAGAUAAAUGGCCAUGAAUGUAAUUUCAAGGGAGCAAUAUCAUAAUUAAUUGUAAGUGAUACAUAAAUGGUCAU